GAUGAACGCUGGCGGCGUGCCUAACACAUGCAAGUCGAGCGAGAAGAUUAAGAAAGAAGCUUCGGUGGAUUGAUUAAUUGGAAAGCGGCGGACGGGUGAGUAACGCGUGGGUAACCUGCCCUGUACAGAGGAAUAGCCAUUGGAAACGAUGAUUAAUGCCUCAUAAGACUACACUACCGCAUGGUAGAGUAGUAAAAACUCCGGUGGUACAGGAUGGACCCGCGUUAGAUUAGCUAGUUGGUGAGGUAAUGGCUCACCAAGGCAACGAUCUAUAGCCGACCUGAGAGGGUGAUCGGCCACACUGGAACUGAGACACGGUCCAGACUCCUACGGGAGGCAGCAGUGGGGAAUAUUGCACAAUGGGCGAAAGCCUGAUGCAGCAACGCCGCGUGAGUGAUGAAGGCC
rnacentral:rRNA from 1 species